GUAUGUUGCCUGCUUCCUGCCCGUGGCAACCUCGUCGCCCACCCAUGGAGUCGCUCGGUGGCUCCCGGCCGGUGGCGGCGAGGCCGAGCCCAGUUAGGGGCAGGCGCCGGUGGCCUUGGCGCGGAGGAGCAGCAGGUUCGGCGGCCUGGCGCGUCGAGGCGGCGUGAAGGCGAAGGUGCGGCGGAGCAGCCGGCUCACGGUCCUGGCGUCGACAAGCAUGGGCCCGACGGCACGGUGCGCAGGCGCGAGGAAGAGCGUGCUGCGGAGCAGCAGGCUCGCGGCCAUGUCGCGGACGAGCAGGGGCGCGACGUCAUAGUGCGCAGGUGCGAGGACGAGCGCGCGGCGGAGCAGCAGGCUCGUGGACGAGCACGGCCCCGACGGCACAGUGCGCCAGCGCGAGUACGGGCGUGCGGCGGAGCGGCAGAGGCUCGGACGAGCAUGGGCCCGACGGCAUAGUGCGCAGCGGACGUCCCGUGGGCGAGCUCGCGGCCACGUUGUGGCCGAGUAGUGGUCCGACGACACUGUGUGCGGCGUUGCCCAUUCUUAAUGAUAGUCUUCCGACAAUGCUCCUGGAGUCGAAGUAUCGCCGGUGCAAUUAAGGAGCCACUCGAUUCUUCACCCUUGUCGCAUUGAAGACAAGCUCGGCUUUGCGCAAGGGGGAAGGCGACCCGUGCUCAAUAGGUUCUUCGCAUGUAGAGGACGAGCCGAGGAAAGGAGGCGCGGAGCUUCUUCCCUGCCCUCGCCGUGGUGAGCAUCGCACGGGUGGACAUCUUUGGCUCGGUUAGCGUCAUGGCAUCACUCCGGGUGCUCGGGCGACGUAGCAGGAGGUGGCAUCGACCAUGAUCAUUUUGUCGAACAGCUUGCGGGCGUGGCCGGCAAGGUGAGGGGGCACGCAUGGCGUGACAGAUGGAUGUGUAGCAAGCUGCGAACGCGGGCGCGGGGCGCAUGCACGACCCCGCAUGAGGCCGGGCGCGUCAUGGCGCCGGUUUCGGAGGCGGGUGGCGCGGCACCUGAGGCGAGGCGCGACGCAACUUGGUCAUUGACGCGGCAGUGUGCGGACGCGUGGGGAGCCAGGCGCGUGCGUGGCGAGGCGCGGAGCCAGGCGCCGUCGGACGCCGGUCGCGGCAAGGCGCGGACUCCGCUCGUGGUGGGUCGUGGACGUGAUGCGGCGCGACCUGAGAUGUCGGUCGCUUGACCGAACAACUUGCGGACGGCCGUCCCUUCUUCGUUUUUUUAGGUUCGUGCGAUCAAGCACGAAAUCCAUCGGGGUAUGGCGUCGGCUUCGUGCUUGAAAUCCAUCGGGGUAUGGCGUCGGCUUCGGAUGCACGUGACGCGGCACGCCAGGGCGAGGCUUGGGGCAAAUCGUCGAACACCCUUCGGGCGAGAGGCCGGCGGUUGUGCUCGUGGGCUAGGCCCUUUGCUUCAGUUGGCUGGACCGAAGGAAGGCCGUGGGCCUUGGGAAGAACGUUGGGCCACCAAGGGGAGCCGGGCUCCCUUGUUAUCUCUUUUUGCUUUGUGCAGUCUGGGCCGACGCGCAGGCAGGCCGCAGGAGGGCUUCGGGGGGGUCAGGCUCCCCCUUUUUUUUUGUUUCUUCACGGCGCUGGACCAUUUCUGAGGGAUGGCACUCCCGUUUCUUUUAUUGCUCGGUCGGUGGUGGAGUGAGGUUAUGCGGCAUUUUUUGCCGUAGAUUUUUUACAGUUGCUUCCUUAGGAAUUUUUGCAACCUUGUACUAAUCUUUUGUGUGUCGCAUUUUGUAGGUGAGAUGAAUGGGGUUGCCUCUUCAUGUUCGCUUGGCUAGGUGUAAGAUAGAAGGUGUGGAUUUUUUAUCACCGAGAUGAUUGCACCCUAACUUGGUGGAGGUUAGGGUUUCCUUUUUCUCAAGGACCAUCUCGAUAUAGUCCGAUCCUCUUGGGAUGCAGACUUUUGUUUGACCACAGUCUUGGUGGUAUUUUGCCCCAAAGGAAUUGAGGUAUUUGUUCAACGGAGUCCAAUCGCAUUGAAGCAAGGACCUUGAUUGUCUGGCAAUCUUGGAGUGAGCCGCCUAGCGAAUCUUGGCGAGAUUCCCUUUUUUUGUAUGUUUCCAUCGCAACUUGGUUACGCGCCAUGUGACGGGUUUUAUUGUGCUUGGCACUCCAGUCAAAGAUGGCGUUUCAACCAUGUCACCGAAGCCUUUGCAAGGAGGCGACGCCCUUUGUGGCGUUCGAGUUAUUGGCGCUCUUGGGCACAAAACUCGAGCUCGUUUACCUAUUUUUGGUACCGUGAUAGUUGUAUCCGGUGUUUCUUGAGUUGACAUUGGUGCCGAGAAAAAAAAGGAGGAGGCCUCGGGCUCUCUCCAAGCCAUGUAGAUUGCCGUGGGCUACCCACUCCAAGAUUUAGACUUGGUUCGAGGCUUGCUGGAGGUCGUUAACCUCGUCACACUUUUGUCAGUCAGGCUGACGUGGCGCCCUAAGGUUGUGAUGACCUUGUUGGGCGAGGAAGUUCCUCCGGAGCACGAUGGUACUCAGUGGUCCAAAAUUCCUCACUUUGUGAUGAGUUUCCGACCUCACCCUUCCGGAGGGUAUUUGUGAGGUAUGAGCUUCUGUCGCCCUUGGAGUCGACAAGUCACCUCUGAUGCUUGCGUAUGUGCUUUGCACAUUGUCCUUUUGACAUAGCCGUAUGACUUGCGUGUAGCUGGCCAUAUGCCUGCAAUGCAUCCAUUUGUUUUGCUCCAUGUAUCGCUAUGUUGUUAACAUUAACGGCAAUCUCAACUUUUAGCUCAACAUGUGUUUUUUAGUACAA